CUUGAAAUCCCAGAGACUUUUAAUGGAAGCUACGGGAUGUAGUAAAAAAAGAGAGUGAGAGAGAGAGAGAAAUCCGCCACCUUCUGGCUCUUCUAAACCCUUCUCUCCCGGUUCUCUGUGAGCUGCAUUACGGAUAAGCAACUGGGAGGCACCCUAUCCUUUACAUACAGCCUUUGAACUUAAGUCAUCUAAAGAAAAGGUUAACUGGCGUUUCACCAUGGGAAUGUAGCCGAGAGAAUCUGCCAGAAUUUGACGAAGAAAAGAAUUGGGCUUCAACUGCUUCACAGAAAGUUCGCAAUGAUCUUUUACUUUCAUCAGUGGUUUUGUUUGUUUUAUAAAAUAAUUGACCGGAAUAAAAAAAA